rnacentral:rRNA from 1 species
ACGGGGGGGGCUAGCGUUGUUCGGAUUCAUUGGGCGUAAAGGGUGCGUAGGUGGCGCGCUAAGUCAGGUGUGAAAUUUCGGAGCUCAACUCCGAAACUGCAUUUGAUACUGGCGUGCUUGAGGACUGGAGAGGAGACUGGAAUUCACGGUGUAGCAGUGAAAUGCGUAGAUAUCGUGAGGAAGACCAGUGGCGAAGGCGGGUCUCUGGACAGUUCCUGACACUGAGGCACGAAGGCCAGGGGAGCAAACGGGA